GAUGAACGCUGGCGGCGUGCCUAACACAUGCAAGUCGAGCGGCAGCGAGGGGUGCUUGCACCCUGUCGGCGAGCGGCGGACGGCUGAGUAACGCGUGGGAACGUGCCCCAAAGUGAGGAAUAACUGCCCGAAAGGGUAGCUAAUACCGCAUAUUAUCUUCGGAUCAAAGGAUUUAUCCGCUUUGGGAGCGGCUCGCGUCGGAUUAGGUAGUUGGUGAGGUAAUGGCUCACCAAGCCGACGAUCCGUAGCUGGUCUGAGAGGAUGACCAGCCAGACUGGAACUGAGGCACGGUCCAGACUCCUACGGGAGGCAGCAGUGAGGAAUCUUCCACAAUGGGCGAAAGCCUGAUGGAGCAACGCCGCGUGCAGGACGAAGGCCUUCGGGUUGUAAACUGCUUUUAUAAGUGAGGAAUAUGACGGUAACUUAUGAAUAAGGAUCGGCUAACUACGUG
rnacentral:rRNA from 1 species